GAUGAACGCUGGCGGCGUGCUUAACACAUGCAAGUCGAACGGAAAGGCUCCUGCUUGCAGGGGUACUCGAGUGGCGAACGGGUGAGUAACACGUGGGUGAUCUGCCCUGCACUUCGGGAUAAGCCUGGGAAACUGGGUCUAAUACCGGAUAGGACGAUGGUUUGGAUGCCAUUGUGGAAAGUUUUUCGGUGUGGGAUGAGCUCGCGGCCUAUCAGCUUGUUGGUGGGGUAAUGGCCUACCAAGGCGUCGACGGGUAGCCGGCCUGAGAGGGUGUACGGCCACAUUGGGACUGGGAUACGGCCCAGACUCCUACGGGAGGCAGCAGUGGGGAAUAUUGCACAAUGGGCGCAAGCCUGAUGCAGCGACGCCGCGGGGGGGAGGACGGCCUUCGGGUUGUAAACUCCUUUCGCUAGGGACGAAGCGUUUUGUGACGGUACCUGGAGAAGAAGCACCGGCUAACUACGUG
rnacentral:rRNA from 1 species